rnacentral:tRNA from 1 species
GGAGAGGUGCAGGAGUGGUUGAACUGGCUUGUCUCGAAAACAAGUGAGCCGGCAACGGUUCCGAGGGUGUUCGAAUCCCUCUCUCUCCGCCA